rnacentral:rRNA from 1 species
CCUACGGGAGGCAGCAGUGAGGAAUAUUGGUCAAUGGACGAGAGUCUGAACCAGCCAAGUAGCGUGAAGGAUGACUGCCCUAUGGGUUGUAGACUUCUUUUAUAUGGGAAUAAAACGUUCCACGUGUGGGAUUUUGUAUGUACCAUAUGAAUAAGGAUCGGCUAACUCCGUGCCAGCAGCCGCGGUAAUACGGAGGAUCCGAGCGUGAUCCGGAUUUAUUGGGUUUAAAGGGAGCGUAGAUGGGUUGUUAAGUCAGUUGUGAAAGUUUGCGGCUCAACCGUAAAAUUGCAAUUGAUACUGGCAGUCUGGAGUACAGUUGAGGUAGGCGGAAUUCGUGGUGUAGCGGUGAAAUGCUUAGAUAUCACGAAGAACUCCGAGUGCGAAGGCAGCUUACUAAACUGCCACUGACAUUGAUGCUCGAAAGUGUGGGUAUCAAACAGGAUUAGAUACCCUGGUAGUC